AAAUUUUAUAAAAGCUAUUCUCCAAGCUAUUCCUACGUAUAUGAUGGCUUGUUUCUUAAUGCCUAGUUCUUUAUGUAUAGAUAUCGAAAGUAUCAUAGCAAAAUAUUGGUGGUAGAAGGGUCAUGGUAAAAGGGGGAAUUAAUUAGUGCACUUAGAAGAAUCUUUGUUUUUUAAAAGAAAAUGGUGGUUUAGGUUUUCGGGAUUGGAGUCAGUUCAAUAUUGCGUUGCUAGCAAAACAAGGAUGGCGUCUGAUUAAUUAUCCCAAUUCAUUAUUAGCCAGAGUUUUAAAAGCGGAGUAUUAUCCGAAUUCGAAUUUUCUAGAGGCGCAGUUAGGAAGGUUACCUUCACUCACCUGGAAGAGCAUUCGGGCAACUAAGGGUCUCCUUCAGAAAGGCUUAUGCUGGCGAAUCAGUAGAGGAAAUAAAGUCUCUAUCUGGCAGGAUUGUUGAAUCCAGGGGGUUGAUUCAUUGGAAAGGCCGAAUAGUCUAGACAAUUUACAACUAGAGUUAGUAUCGGAUCUUAUUGAUAGGGUGAAUAGAAAGUGGAAGGUGGAGUUGAUUAAUAAUACCUUUCAUUUGGAGUUCGCUAGAAAAAUUCUACAAAUCCCAUUAUCGGAAUCAGCUCAUGAGGAUUUCCAAGUUUGGAGGGGUAAACCGACCGGUGAAUACUCAGUUCGUAGCGCUUAUAAACUAUUACAAAUUGCUAAUCUGGAUCCUAGCAAUUAUUUAUUACAGACUGAAAAUAAGAAGUUUUUUGAAAAGCUAUGGAAUCUACAACUACCAUCUAAGAUUACAAUCAUAAUCUGGCGUAUUGCCUGGAAUUACAUCCUACUUUAGCCAAUCUUAGACAAAGAAGAAUAGUGACGAAUGCUGUUUGUCCUCGAUGUGGUUUUGGGGGAGAAGACUGUCAUCACGUUUUUAGGCAAUGUCCUGUAAGCAUGGAAGUCUGGCAAUUAUUAAAUAUGGCUUGGAUCAUAAAUAUUAUGCAACCAAAUUUCUGAGUGGCUUACCAUGGUCUUCGAACAAGGAACAGAUGAACAGUGCAGAUAUUUUUGCUAUACUUUAUGGUUGCUUUGGUAUUCGAGAAAUAAGUUCAUGCAUGAAAGAAUUUAUUAAACAGGUAAUGAUCUUGCACAAAAAGUCCAGAACCACAUAGCAGAAUAUGAAGGGUUUAGAGCCAAGAAGAGUAUAUUGAAUAUGGUAUGUAAUCAAAGAACUGAGGAGAACUUACCGAUUAUAAAGAUCCAGUUUGAUGCUGCGUUUAACUCCAAAAAUUUUAGAUCAGCGACUGGGCUGCUGGUUUGGGGAAAGACGAACGAAUAUUUGGUUUCAAAAUCAUUCAUUCAUUAUGAUAUUGCAUCUCCAUUUUCAGCAGAAGCAUAUGCAGGAUUAGAAGUAGUUAAGUUAGGAAUCGAGAUGGGCUUCCAGGAGAUACAAAUACAGGAGGAUUCUUUAACAGUAAUAAAGAGAUGCCAGGCAAACACAAUCAAUUAUUCAGUUAUUGGAUCAAUUAUCAGAGGUAUUCAGGUUAAGAAAUCAGGCUUCCAGAAGAUAGAGUUCAAGCACAUC
rnacentral:lncRNA from 1 species